AUUAACAGCAGUGCCUGAAAGUGAAAGGUGCAGGCUGGCUGCUUAUUUAUAUAUUUUUUAUGGCUAUUCUCAGCCAGCCUGCACCUUUCACUUUAAGGCACAUCUUCUGUUAUU